AAUGAAGCGCCUGAUGAAAGGGUUAUUUUGAUAGAAUAAUUCACGUAAUUUUUAUUACCUUCAUUA
rnacentral:tRNA from 1 species